CUUGGUGAUUCAUGAUAACUUCACGGAUCGCAUGGCCUUGCGCCGGCGACGGGUUCAUUCAAAUUUCUGCCCUAUCAACUUUCGAUGGUAAGGUAUUGGCUUACCAUGGUUUCAACGGGUAACGGGGAAUUAGGGUUCGAUUCCGGAGAGGGAGCCUGAGAAACGGCUACCACAUCCAAGGAAGGCAGCAGGCGCGCAAAUUACCCAAUCCCGACACGGGGAGGUAGUGACAAUAAAUACUGAUACAGGGCUCUUUUGGGUCUUGUAAUUGGAAUGAGUACAAUUUAAACCUCUUAACGAGGAACAAUUGGAGGGCAAGUCUGGUGCCAGCAGCCGCGGUAAUUCCAGCUCCAAUAGCGUAUAUUAAAGUUGUUGCAGUUAAAAAGCUCGUAGUUGAAACUUGGGCCUGGCUGGCAGGUCCGCCUCACCGCGUGUACUUGUCCGGCCGGGCCUUUCCUUCUGGAGAACCUCAUGCCCUUCACUGGGUGUGUUGGGGAACCAGGACUUUUACUUUGAAAAAAUUAGAGUGUUCAAAGCAGGCCUUUGCUCGAAUACGUUAGCAUGGAAUAAUAGAAUAGGACGUGCGGUCCUAUUUUGUUGGUUUCUAGGACCGCCGUAAUGAUUAAUAGGGACAGUCGGGGGCAUCAGUAUUCAAUUGUCAGAGGUGAAAUUCUUGGAUUUAUUGAAGACUAACUACUGCGAAAGCAUUUGCCAAGGAUGUUUUCAUUAAUCAGUGAACGAAAGUUAGGGGAUCGAAGACGAUCAGAUACCGUCGUAGUCUUAACCGUAAACUAUGCCGACUAGGGAUCGGGCGAUGUUCUUUUUCUGACUCGCUCGGCACCUUACGAGAAAUCAAAG
rnacentral:rRNA from 1 species